GUAGAUCCUUAACCUGGUGCACUACAAUGAGACUCCAUAAAGCACUUUGUUACAGAUAAACACUUCCCACUUCACAUUUUCCCAGUAAAUAUAAUCCACUCUGUGUUUUACCGGAUAUAAAUUCAUUGAGCAGUUAGGUACUUUAGAGAAUGGAUUCAGUGGCAUAGUGUCUGAUGUUGAAUAACUUCAGGGUAUCCUGAUUGUGUUUGUUACAGGAAUCUGAAUAUAUUAAAAAAAUUAACAGAACUGUAUACCAAAAAAUGGUUAAUUUUACUGUAUGACAAUUCAAACGAUAAAGUUAACUUCUAAAAAAAGAGUUCAAGAUGAGAGUUCCUAUCGCAGCUCAGUGAUUAACAAAUCCGACUAAGAACCAUAGGGUUGCAGGAACUCCCCAAAAAAGAGAAAUUUCAAGCCUAGUAAACCUUUCCACAACAUGAACUUCUUAAAUCCUCAAAACACGAGAAGACUCUCCUAGAAGUUCCUAGUUGGGAGUAAAUAUUUCCCUCAGCUAUUAGUAAAAAUAAUUUUUAAAUUAUGUUUGCAACACAGAAUAAGACUGGAAGGAAACUUAAAGAAUCAUUUGAUUACAUAAGAGUAAAUAAAGCUAUUUAAUCAAAGCUUUCAAAUCUCUUCUCAGAGAUCUCCAAACACAGAGAAUCCACAAUGGCCACCAGUAAAUGUGUUUCUGUGUUUUACCACUGGUUUGGUAAGUUGGGGAUGUGAGUCUAUGUGUUCUGCUGAAAAGCUCCUAUGUUAAGUUUUUUUCAUUGUCCCUGAUCUCAUAAAGAAGGCAUGGACAGAGAGACAUUAAUUGGGUUAUCGCUUUAGCCAUUCUUCUUCAAGUUCAAUGAACUUAGCCUUUAACAUGUGCUAUGCUCUCAGAAGAAGUGCCCAUGAGCUAUUUCUAUCUCUUUCUGUUCACUUGGGUUCCAUACAUCCUUUUUUUUUUUUUUUUUUAGGGCCGUACCCACAGCAUAUGGAGGUUCCCAGGCUAGGGGUCAAAUCGGAGCUACAGCUGCCUGCCUACGCCACAGCCACAGCAAUGCCAGAUCCGAGCCUUGUCUGCUCCUUACACCACAGCUCAUGGCAACAGAGGCCAGGGAUUGAACGCACAUCCUAAUGGAUCCUAGUUGGAUUCAUUUCUGCUGUGCCACAAUGGGAACUCCCCUUCCUUUGUAUUUUAAAGAACAGUGUCUAAAGUAGGUCCCAUCCUUUUGUUAUUCUCAACCACAGUUCCAACGGUUGAGUGUCUCCUGGGAUAUGCAUGCUCUGUUCCAUUUCUUUCUUUUUUUAAACAGACCCAGAGUCCCAGAAGAAGUUAGAUGUUGUGCUUACAAACUGCAUACACAUGGGCAUCAUGGAAGUGCAAAACUCCAAUAAAGAAAUAAGCACAUGGUUUCUUAGUUCAUUUUUUAUGUUAAUGAUGAAAGUGCAGGUAAGAAAAUAAGAACUAGCCUUAAGGACAUAUAAGUGAUGGAAAGAGAAGGAAAAUUCUAGGUGGAGCCCAGAGAAGUUAUCAUUCUCUUCCUAUCAACAUUGGGUGGAUGUGCAGGCCCCUUGCUUUAUAGCAGCAGAACAAAAUAAAAUGACUGAUGAUCAAAGAAACUCACAGAUGCCUACAGAAUUAAAUUAUCAACCCACUUUGACAUUUUGCAAGUAUAAACAGAAACAGAAAUAACUAGAGGUGUAGAAAUAGUUGAAGAAGCCCCUCAACAUUAAAUUCUAAACUUCAAAUUUGAAACACCUAGAGAUUGGGGUUUCUCUGUAAUCUAUAAAUCAGCCUUGAUUCAAAGAAAUAGCCAGGCUGGCAUGGGGGAGCAACUUUAGAUCUGGCCAGCACAGGACCUGGGGAGGCUCAGUAGAGACCCACUAUCUGUUAAUAAGGAAGAAGACCCAAAACAGAGCCAGGACAAAUAAUUCUGUCAUUUUACUGUCAAAAGUGUCCAACCAUUCUUUAUUGUGAAAAGGAUACAUAAUUAAGCUGUAUCUUUAUAUUAUUAUUUUUUUUUUACUAUUUGGCAUAUUAUUCAUUCCCAGUGAUGUUUCAUUUCUCCUCAAAUGAUUCUUUUGCAACCUUUAGAAAGCCCUGCAAUUUCCUUUUCAUUUGGCCGAACGUGGCAGACACAGGAGGGAGAGCUUCUAAAUCCUGUUGCUCAGAAUAUGGCUUUUUUUUUUUUUUUUUUUUUUUUUUUUUUUGUCUUUUCAGGGUCGCACCCACUGGAAAUGGAGGUUCCCAGGCUAGGGGUCUAAUCGAAGCUACAGCUGCCAGCCUACACCAGAGCCACAGCAACGCCAGAUCUGAGCCACGUCUGUGACCUAUAGCACAGCUCAUGGCAAUGCCUGAUCCUUAACCCACUGAGUAAGGCCAGGAAUCGAACUCAAAACCUCGUGGUUCCUAGUUGGAUUCCUUUCUGCUGCGCCACAACGGGAACUCCCAGAAUAUGUUUAAAAAAAAAAAAAAAGCAGGACCCCAGACAGGUGUGUAACUGUUUGAAUGGGCUAUCUCUUAUACAACUAGGAAUAAGACCUACUUGGAAGAAGUUUUGCUCUAGAAACUGUUGAUGCUCUUGACUUAUUGAGGGGAGUUCCAUAAAAUGGCCAUUACCAACUGUAUAAGACAAAACUCGUGUUAGCUCGAAGGUUAGUCCCUGUUUUAAAAUCCCAAAAAAGAUAAACCCUAUUAUGGGCCAUUUCCACUUUCCCCACUGCUUCCCUGACAAGAGGUAAUGUGGGUCUGAGGAGGAAACUGAAGAUUCAUGGCCCAAAUAGAGCAGAAGUCUUGUCUUGUGUAACUGCCCAAAUGCUAAUACAAACUCAUUGUUGCUCAAUUUGUUCUUUAAAAGCUGUGCUUUAUUCUAUUAACUUUGAUUUGCCCUCUUAGCUUCUGUCAUUUUUCCAUACUGGACUGUCCUGGCAAUCCUCCUCACCUUUCUGUCUGGGUUUCAGUCUCUGACAGGGGCUCUGUGCCUAGGUCUCCCUGCCAGGAUCCAUCUGGCCCAUCGGUAACUAACAGUCAUCUUAGCCUUGUCCAGUGGUGAUAGCUUCACCCGUAGAUUUAACUGAGACAAAACUGAACAACUUACCAUAAAUAUCGGAGUCAAGAAAAAAUUAUUAGGAGACUAGGCGUACAUAAGUUUAGAUAAAAACAGAGAAGGCAGGACGACAGUGUGGUCCAAGUAAUUUUCUCUGUGCAAAGAUGCCUUCUAUUUAGUAUAACUAAACACAUUACUUCUGGGGAAAAAAAAAAACAACAACAAAAAUUCACACUCCAAAAAAGGGAGAAAAACUAGUAUUGAGAGCAAUUAUGAGUAUGACUUAAAAUGUCACUUUUCAUCUGUUGUACAGGAGAGUAAAUAUCAUGAAAACUUAACCAUGAUAAGGAAAAAAAAACACUUAACCAUGAUGAAAUAUUUGUCAAACAGUAUUUGUUCCUAUAUUAAGAAAUUAAUACCCACAUGCACAACUUUGAGUUGAUAGAAACUAAAAACUUAAGGUAAUAGAAUUAAGGAUUUCAUUUUCCUUUUUAGAGUUUUAUAUAUUUUUCAAAUUUUUUGGAAAGGCGUUUUGGAAAUAGAAAAAAAAAAAAGGUCUAAAGCUAAAAACUCUUUAACGUAAUUUUUCUUACUGAAUAGUUAUUAUCCUGUUCAUGAGACAUGACCAUAAUAACUCAAAGCCACUAUUUUUUUUUUUUUAAAUUUGGUUGAACCUGCAGCAUGCAGAAAUUCCCAGGCCAGGGACUGAACCCAUGCCACUGUAGCAACCACAACCACUGCAGUGACAACAUUGGAUGCUUAAACCACUGAGCCAUAUGGGAACUCCUCAAAGUUACUAUUGACUUCAUCAGGAUGAGGCUAGCUAUGUGCUUAAGUAAUAAUUGAAGUAAGGAUGAGAAAUAAAUUUUACGGAAAGUAAGAAUAAUACUAUGCCUUAUCUAUAAGAUCCCAAACCAGAAUAUAUUUGAAAAUAUUUGAGUGACUGACUUUUUUUUUUUUUACUUUUCGUCUUCAUUAGUGAUACUAUGCAGCUAUCUAUAGUUUGGUAUCUCUAACCACCAGAUAACAGUUGUGAUGACCAAAAAUGCCUCUAGACACUGCCAAAUGUCCUCUGGGGUAGGAGAGAAAUCACCCCUGGUUGAGAUCCACUGCUCCAUAGUAAGUUAUUACUACCCAAAUAUUUUGAUUAUCUUUUUAACUGUUACCUAUUACCAUGGCCACAUUAAUCAUGCCAGGAUUCACAAUGAUCACAAUGAUUAAAGAAAUUACAGAUUUACCCUGGCACUCAGGAUUACUAUCAUACUAUUAGACAGAGCCUGGGUAUGUUAAAGGAAAAAAAUUCCUAUAAUUAGAAAAAUAAAAGAUUACACAAAAAGAGCAAAGACUUUGGUUGUACACUGGAAUGAAAUUACAUUCAUUUGUUGAAGUGGUCUGAACGACUCAAAAAUACACAGCAGCUGUUAUUCACUUAGCUACAACAUAGCUGAUAUUAACACACAUUUUGAAAAGGAGGGCUGUUGCUUCAUAGAACAAUUCUGCUGAUAUUUAAGAAGCAAUGUCAGUGACUCAUCAGACAGUCAGGCAUGACUUCUUCCCCUUCAAUGUUCCUUAUCAUUUUUCUCAUUGCCUUUUUUACUUCAACACAUGUUCAAUGGCAGCCACAAUCAAAAUUCUGUUGCAAAAUUAAGUAUCUUACUUUUAUUUCACAUAAAUAAAUUAUAAAUGAUCAUAGUUAAAAACAUAAAUAAUAAAUACUCUCUGCAUCACCAUUCUUCUAGCUUGUAGUGAUUUUUAUUUCAUCACUGUGAAUGGU
rnacentral:lncRNA from 1 species